rnacentral:lncRNA from 1 species
GCUUCUCAUUUUAAUGGCGCUUGUAGUUGCAGUGUAGGCUGCCAUUGCGGCCUACACUGUGUAGUCCGUUGUUGUGUUUGUUGCGUAGUUUAUAAUUAUAAACUAUUCGUAUUUCAAAAUAAGCGUGAUGAAUCUAUUGCCCGAAAUGAGUUCUCAGUUCAGCAAACAAGAUUACUGGAAAAACUUUUGAAAAGAAGAAGCAAGAAAUCAUUUGAAUGGUAUAGAACCUAUCAGUAGCGCAACAGUGUAUUUCAUAAACACAUCAACCCCUGAGAUUCUAAUUGGAAAUUGUAGAAAUAUAAGCUUUUUGUGUUGGUCUGCGUAAUCCUGGCUCUGUCUUAUAUCAUCCAUAAAGCAUCAACACAAGUGAGUUCAUAGAGAUCAUUAACACCUCAAAGGCUGCUGGUAUACCUGUAAUCUCUAAUCAGCUCCUAAACAAUUACACCAGAAAUAUGUGCCACCAAUAAAAGGAAGGAUUUAUAAAAAAGUGCCCAAAUAAAUGACAGAAUAUUUUGAAAAAGUAAUAUGUGCUAUAUGACGGUUGCAAAUUGAUUAAAUUUGACAUGAAUCGAAUCUGCUUACUGAAACUAGAGGUGGAUGCAGAUUCUAGUUAAUGAAGCCCCUGCUGGAAAUAAAAUCUGUUUUCAUCAGAAUCAUUAGUUAAAUAACAGUUCUGAUUUUUUCAGACGCAGUUGGACGCUGAAACAUUGCGAAGAUUAGAUUGGCUUUUUUUACGUAUGAUAGAAAAGCCGUCCACCUAGUGGAACAAAGGUAGUAGUAGUAGUAGUAGUAGUAGUAGUAGUAGUAGUUUAUCUUAUUGCAUUUGGCUUUUCUAUCAUGUGGUGUGAUUUAUUUGGACGGCUUUUCUAUCAAAGUAUUUUCCAUCAUCAUUCGUGGACGGCUUCUUUGCCAUAGGAGAUCGCCUAGACAUCAACUUCAAAGAAGCCGUCCAUGAAUGAUGAUGAUGGCAAAAUAUCGAUCAAAAGGAAGUCAGCACAGACAUCUCGGUUUUUAGUAGUAUAUACGUAUAUAUAGUUUUAGUAGCCUAUUACUUGCAUAAUUAGUAAUCUUUUGGCCCGUUUCUCCUUGACAUGUGAUAUGCUGAGCCUGGAGUGGAUUUGCACAAUGAGACUUAGACCUCGAAUGCUUGGACAACAGCAAGGAAGGUGUCCGUGAAGUUUUCGACAUCGGACCAUUUCUGGCUGUUCAUUUCAUUGUCAAAACCGUCUAUGUAUCAUGUAAUGAAAAAUCUCAAGAAACCAUUGUUUACGGUCAUCAUAAAGGUAUCUUACUGUAACCAAAAAAACCUUCAACUUGCAUCCUUCUUCAUCGUAUGCCAACUGUUAGCCGAGUUGUCAUUAAAAUGGAUGAUAAAAGGAAAUCGCUCACAUAUUGCAGGCAUGUAGCGGUUGACAAUAUGGUGAAAUGAUUGCGACCUACGUCUUUCACGGAACGUCUACGGAUUUGUACAAUUGCUGAGUGGCUUUAGCACUUUGGGAAAUGAAGUCCCAAGUAAAAUUAAACUUUUCUUCUCUUGCUAAUUAGUUAAAAAAGAAAUUUCUAAUAAUGCAAGGAGACGAUUCUGAUGGAAAUUCAGUAUACAAUGGAAAGUCAUGGCGUGAGUGUUGAUCUUCCGUUGCCUCGCUAUCCGAUCUGACUAGUUGUCUGGGUAAAAUCUUUGGCAUCACCAACAACGGGUUGAUUUAAAUGUAAAAGUUUGCAAUAGAUUCUUACCAAGUUAUCUUUCUAGGUUUUCGCUGUGAUUUUCAAUCAGUAUGCCGUUUCAGAAUCACCUGCCAGAAUUUUUUUACAGGAACAUGGCAAAUGGUAAAAUUUCUAUCAUGUAAGCUAUGUAAACAAGAAUUUGUAUGCUUACCUCUGUUUCAUUUUCUUACUAUAGAUUAAUAACCAUAGAUAGCAGAUCUGAAAAAGUUUUGGUUGGGUCAAGAUACAGAAAAACCAAGAAAUUACAAAAAUUGGAUGCAGGAAAUCGAAUUUCCAUACUUAAAUCGCAUUCUUGUGUGUUACGGUAUCAAUUUUUAAAAAAUUUGAAGUGCAUAUCUGGGCUCCCUUCUUUUCUGUGGCCCCGUUUCCCCUUGACUCAUAAUAAGCCCGUAGGGGGUCAUGCCUCUACU